GAAAUGUAUUGUCAAUCAGUGUUGCUUCCUAAGUGGACAGUUUGAUUGCACAGAAGUGUGAUUGACUUGGAGUUACAUUGUGUUGUUUAAGUGUUCCCUUUAUUUUUUUGAGCAGUAUAUAUAUAUAUAUAUAUAUAUAUGCAUGCAAUUUUAUGGACAACGGUGGCUGGUUCUUAAAAUAACCUUUGUGUUAUUGGGCUCUUCAAAGAGCUGUUUCACUCCACGGCAUACUGCCAUGGGACUUCACCUGCUGGUGAUGAGAAAUAGGUGGUCAGCUUCUCCCUCACCUGGAGUGCCUGUCUGGGGGCGUUGUUGGCACCUACCCUGGUGACAUCAGGAAGGUGACCAUUUGGCGUGGCCAUCUCCAUCCGGAGCUGCUCCUGGAAUGACCUCCGCAGGUAGUUGUGGAGAACACAUUCUCACGCAGGCAUCGACAUUUGAGGGGCUGAGACCAAUCACUCUCCGAUACAUUCUCCACCAGGCUGCCAGAAUCCUAAAGGCGCAUUCAACAACUAACCUUGCCCUGGACAGUCGUUUGUUAAAGAUCCUUACAGGCUUUGGCAAUGGCAGCUGGCGUCCAGCGUAGGGCCUCAUGAGGUUUAACAGUACAUCAGACGGUUUAACAGCCAUCACUAGGAGAUGCUGCUGCCUAUAUUCAGAACACUAGUCACUUUAACAAUGUUUACAUAUCUUGCAUUACUCAUCUCAUAUAUUUAUACAUUCUUAUUCCAUUCCUUUACUUAGAUGGUUGUAUUAGGUAUUUGUUGUGGAAUUGUUAGAUAUUACUUGUUAGAUGCACCCGCAGAACUAGAAGCAUAAGCAUUUUGCUACACUCGCAAUAACAUCUGCUAACCAUGUGUACAUGACCAAUAAAAUACCUUAACCCCAAAACCUAACCUUAACCCUAAACCCACCCUUACCCUAAACCAAACCUUACCAUAAACCUAGCUCCUAACACUAAUUCUAACCUUAACCUUAAACUCUCUAGAAAUAGCAUUUGACCUUGUGGGGACUUACAAAAUGUCCCCAGUUGGUCAACUUUUUGUUUGUUCAUUAUUCUUGUGAGGACUUUUGGUCCUCACAAGUGUAUUUAAACACACACACACACAAUGGAGCUGGACUAGGGCUAAUGCAUUCUGACAGGAGAGUGACUGCUUCUUCUACACUAAGGAGGUGAGUCAGAAUAUAUAUAAUUUUAAGUGCACAGAGUGUGUGUGCCAGUAUUGUGUGAAUGUGUAUAAUUUUUACAUCAAAAAGGAAAAGCUCACACACCACUCUGUCUAGGAGUAACAUCAUUAACUCACGGUAAAAGAGGAAGCUAAUGCAGUCUCAUCCCCCUCUAACUACUACUGUGUCUAAAUAUGCAGGGUGGGUGGGUGCAAGUCAGACACACCCACAGUUUUACUGUAUAAUCCUCCUCCAAUUGAAAUACUCUAAUAUAUUAUCUCAUAUGAAUAUCCGCUCCUCACUCUCGCCUUCUCCAGCAGCUGUGUAGAAGCUGCGCUGUACACCGUUCCAGGAUCAGCUUACCCUCCCUCAGUCCUUAUUUUAUCCAUAGAGGGAGAUGCUAAACUGACCUUACAUCAGUCUGUAAGGGCAACCUCAUCUACUCCAGUACAGACAUGCCUGGGGUAUUUAAAGCAGUCUACAUCAGAUGUGCUCCCAUGGAAGAGAUGCUGUGAUAGAAGCAUGUUGAUGUACACAUUAUGUAACAUAGUCUACACAGGGUUAUAUACAGCUCAAUAAUAUGGGACUGCUGUCUGUAGCAUCAGUAAUGAGUUAUGUACACUGUACCAGAAGAUUUGUGUGUGCACACCAUGGACUAAUUUGGGAAUGCAGUGUGUAGGUUGUGAAAUGACUCGUUUGACUGAGAAGUCUACCCACGUAGGGCACAAUAAGCCCCUGUCUGUUAUUUCCUGAACAUCUCUCUCUCUCUCCUUUUUAGAUUGUACUUUUCUCAUUUCCUCUGGUAUCGACUCACUUUUCCCCAUCUCUCUUCCCCCUCUCCUCUCUUCCUCCUGUCAGACUACGACUAAGACGGUGAAAAAGACACCAAAGAAGAAGACAACCACCACAGCUACAGCCAGCAACAACGCUGAGUCACCAUGAUAUCUGUAUCUACUGACCCCAUCUACACCUUACUGAACACCACUACAGCCAUGUAACAGGCCCUCUCUGUCUCCAGUCCCCACACACACACACACGGACCUCUGGAGUGUCACCCUCGCCGGUUAAGCACAACUCGCAGGUUUAGUUCAACUGUAGAUGGCCAGCAGGUUUUGUUCUACUGUAGAUGGCCAGCUUCAUGUCAACUCGCAGGUUUAGUUCUACUGUAGAUGGCCAGCAGGCUUAGUUCUACUGUAGAUGGCCAGCUUCAUGUCAACUCACAGGUUUUGUUCUACUGUAGAUGGCCAGCUUCAUGUCAACUCACAGGUUUUGUUCUACUGUAGAUGGCCAGCAGGUUUUGUUCUACUGUAGAUGGCCAGCAGGCUUAGUUCUACUGUAGAUGGCCAGCUUCAUGUCAACUCACAGGUUUUGUUCUACUGUAGAUGGCCAGCUUCACGUCAACAACACUUGUUUUAUUUAACCUGCUGCUUACAUAUUCUAGGUUUUAUAGUCAUUAACCUCAGUGUGUGUGUGUGUUUUAGUGAUGGCCUGUUAUCUGGACUGAAAAAGAGUUGCUUCCUUCCUGCUGUACAGAUAAUAGCCCUCUGUGUUGGGCCCCUCCCAGGCCAUCCAAGGCCUCACACUAGAUUGACAUGACAUAAUCCUCUUGGGAGCAUAGGGCAUCCAUCAUGAAUCUCCAUCCCCCUCACUAUGCUAGGGCAUCUACCAUGGCUCUCCACCUCCCUCACUAUGCUAGGGCAUCUACCAUGGCUCUCCACCUCCCUCACUAUGCUAGGGCAUCUACCAUGGCUCUCCACCUCCCUCACUAUGCUAGGGCAUCUACCAUGGCUCUCCACCUCCCUCACUAUGCUAGGGCUUUGCCUCUUAGCAGGAGAUCCCCACUGGUUUAUUGGAGAUGCAUUCUCUAUAAACGUACGUUCCAGUCAGAGUAUGGUAUCUCUAUUGGAGGGUAGCUGGGGGCUGCCAUGAAUGGAAAGGUAGACUAGUGGACUAGGCAUGUGUGAAGGAGAGAUCAGGGAGGGAAGAGAGUAGAGAGUGAUGGGCGCCAAAGGAUCAUUGUUGUUGUCCUGGCCUAACUGGCCUCUACUCAACAUGUCUGACUACAUAGACGGGGUCAUGUGAUCUCUGGAAGGCAGAGGACAUUCUGGGAGCACUUAUCUCUAACAGUGUUAAGCCGAUGCCAUGGUUACCCAUAUCAUUCACUCUACUGUAAUGGAGCAGUAGACUGAUGAACACUUGGUCACGCGCCCACAGAGAGAUGAAGAGAUCUGUUUGUUCUUUCUCUCUCUCCUCUCCCUCUGGACAGCUCUACCCUCUCACCCCGUUCAGCUCAGAACGGUCCAGCGGAAAGACACACAGCUUCAGGCAUCAUUACCUUUUCUGUCUGAGUGUGUGUGUGUGUGUGUGUGUGUGUGUGUGUGUGUGUGUGUGUGUGUGUGUGUGUGUGUGUGUUUUUGGAACAUGACCAAGCUUCUGUUUUUCCCCUCUCUGUUGUCCCAACUGCAUAGAGACAGAAUGACAGAGUUCUCUGACCACUUAUAAUAACGUAACCAUCCACAAGGUCUUAAACUGCAGCUCAUAGCAUAGCUAAACAGUACAGACAACCAACAGUUAAUUUAACUUUGUUAGACUUGUGCUUAGGGUUAUUUUUGUUUACACUAAAUUGACUGGCUUAUAGGAUGUAAGAGUGGCAUAGUGGUCACCAAGCUAAUGUUAAUACUCUGUUGAUACCAGGCUACAUUAUGGAACACCACUAUGGAUCCCUGUCUUGUUUCAAUGUGUUUAUAUUAUCAGGGUGGUGUAGUGCCCUAUUAGGAAGACCUUCAGGUGAGCCUGGCUUAGCUAAGUCUGGGUCUUACCUGGGCGAGGUCACCCCGGUCUGACUAGGCAAAUAUCUGAGGGAUCUACUACUAUUGUAUAAUAUAUGACUGUCAUACUAGGUAUUGUAUAAUGUAUGACUGUCACUAAACAGUAUUUUGUCCUGUGUUUUCACUUCUAUUCCUGAAUGGGUU
rnacentral:lncRNA from 1 species